CAUCAUCAUCAUCAGAUGAGGAACAAGAGGAAAAAGCAAAUUUUUGUUUUAUGGCAAAUGAAAAUGAGCUAAUAUCUGAAACACAUUUAGAUUUUACGUUUGAUGAAUUGUAUGAUGCUUUUAAUGAACUAAUGGAUGAAUAUAAGAUAAUAAACCUUAAAAAUAAAGAAUUGAAACUAACUAAUCAAUCUUACACUUAUAAGUACGAUAAAAUAAUUAAGGACAAGAACUCUAUCAUCAAAGAAAACUUAGAACUUAAAACAAGCAACCAAUUGCUAACUCAAAAAACUAAUACUUUAAUUAAAGAUAACGAAAGACUA
rnacentral:lncRNA from 1 species